CUGGGAAGCUACAAUGCAAGUCGUGCGAGAGAGUAUCUUCGGAUAUGAGUAGAGCGGCGGACGGGUGAGUAACGCGUAGGAAUCUACCUAGUAGAAGGGGAUAGCCCGGGGAAACCCGGAUUAAUACCGUAUACCUCCUUCGGGAGAAAGAAGGCCUCUCUUUGAAGCUUUCGCUAUUAGAUGAGCCUGCGUAAGAUUAGCUUGUUGGUGAGGUAAAGGCUCACCAAGGCGACGAUCUUUAGCUGGUCUGAGAGGACGAUCAGCCACAUUGGGACUGAGACACGGCCCAGACUCCUACGGGAGGCAGCAGUGGGGAAUAUUGGACAAUGGGCGCAAGCCUGAUCCAGCCAUACCGCGUGUGUGAAGAAGGCCUUCGGGUUGUAAAGCACUUUAAGCAGGGAGAAAAAGUUAUAAGUUAAUACCUUAUAACCGUGAUGUUACCUGCAGAAUAAGCACCGGCUAAUUCCGUGCCAGCAGCCGCGGUAAUACGGAAGGUGCCAGCGUUAAUCGGAACUACUGGGCGUAAAGCGCGCGUAGGUGGUUUGUUAAGUUGCAUGUGAAAGCCCUGGGCUCAACCUAGGAACUGCAUCCAAAACUAACUCACUAGAGUACGAUAGAGGGAGGUAGAAUUCAUAGUGUAGCGGUGUAAUGCGUAGAUAUAUAUGUAGAAUACCAGUGCCGAAGGCGGACCUCCUUGAAUCUGUACUGAUACUGAUGUGCGACAGUCGUGGGUCAGCCGAACUAGGAUUAGAUACCUCUGGUAGUCCACGCCGUAACGAUGACAACUAGCUGUGACACGACGACCGUCCGUUCAGUAGCG
rnacentral:rRNA from 1 species